rnacentral:lncRNA from 1 species
GGAGAGCUCAGGGCCAGGACCGGGGCCUUUGAGGAGGAUGUGGAGCUUGGAGAAGUCCAUGAGGACAGGGGAGAUAGAGAAGUUGGCGUAAAGGACACAAGGGGACGAGAAGAGAGCGAGAACGUGGAGGGGGAAGGAAGAGAGUGGCAGUCUUGGUGGGAACUUGGAGGGCUUGCCACAGGAGUGGGAAGGCGAUGGUGGGAGCGAGCUUGGUGGGGAGGAGA